rnacentral:rRNA from 1 species
UACUGUGGGUUUUACGGGUCGUGAAAUGGGCUCGUUUAUUCGGGCUUGCUGAGCGCACUUGUUGCCUGCGUUUAUCACAAACUCUAUAAAGUAUUAGAAUGUGUAUUGCGAUGUAACGCAUCUAUAUACAACUUUCAGCAACGGAUCUCUUGGCUCUCGCAUCGAUGAAGAACGCAGCGAAAUGCGAUAAGUAAUGUGAAUUGCAGAAUUCAGUGAAUCAUCGAAUCUUUGAACGCACCUUGCGCUCCUUGGUAUUCCGAGGAGCAUGCCUGUUUGAGUGUCAUGAAAUCUUCAAUCUAUAAGCUUCUUAAUUGGAGUUUGUAGGCUUGGACUUGGAGGUUUGUCGGUCCUUUACAGGUCGGCUCCUCUUAAAUGCAUUAGCUUGGUUCCUUGCGGAUCGGCUUGUCGGUGUGAUAAUGUCUACGCCGCGACCGUGAAGCGUGUUUGGGCGAGCUUCUAACCGUCUCGUUAUAGAGACAACUUUAUGACCUCUGACCUCAAAUCAGGUAGGACUACCCGCUGAACUUAAGCAUAUCAA